GGAGAAUCACUCGAAGCCAGGAAUUCAAGACCAGCCUGGGCAACUUAGUGAAACCCAUCUUUACAAAACAAAUAAGCAAACAAACAAACAAACAGAAACUGGCCUAGAGUGUUAUCCUUUUCCCCUAGUAUGUGCCAUAGCAUUUACUCUGAAAAUUUUGAAGUUCAAGUCUUUGGACUUCAAAAGGCUACUUUGUUAAUCAGGUCUCUUGGCUCAAAACAUGAUGUGUUACACGUUAUAUAAGACAAAAAAAAAAAAAAAAAACAGGAAGGCUGACCGCUUGGACAUUAGAUGACUCGGAUGAAAGACUUCUAAAAUGAUUUCAAAUUUCAAACAUCCACUGGGAACUUGCCAAUUUGAAGUGAGUUUGAGGAAAAGUUCAACUUUCCACCUCCCUGUUCUAGUGGAAAAACACGGUAAGUCUUGCUUCUCAGAGUGCCUUCCAUGAGCCAGUAGCAUCGCCAUCACCUGGGAGCUUGUUAGAAAUGCAGAACUCAGACCCUAGAGACUGAAUCAGAGUCUGCAUUUUACCAAGAUCCUCAUGCUAUUUCUUGCACAUUAAGGUUGAGAAGGAUUGCAGCAAUGCAAUGGGCACACCAGCAGGCUCUUGAAGGCACUGCCAUACUGCACAGCUUCCACAGGCCUGGAGCCUGAAUCCUCUGAGACACAUCGUCCCUGAAAUUGAAAGAUUGGCACUUCACCCACACCUGAGACGGGAAACAUCAUCUCUUCCUAGGAGGACCUGUGUGACCCCGCCUGCAUGAAAGGUUUGCUCACUCGGUCUGCAGUGGCAGGCCCACACUCGGCAUUCCCCGGAGUCCUCCAGUGCCUGCGUGCACUUUCUCUUCUUGGUUGGAGGCAAUGAGGCUCUAAAAUCAAGACACCAAAACGAAGGGCUGUGACACAGAGGCUGCUGAGGAGUCGAGGAGGAAGAGCAACAGUGCCAGAUGUGCUGAAGGUGGAUCGCACUCACCUUUGACCUGCGGAGGAGAGCAUGAGUCGGAUGCAGAAUAGGGCGGGGUGUCUGGGAGCUGGCGUUGCCUGAAGAUUAGAGACAUACAUUGCGUUUUUGUUUCACUCUAGUCCAUUAUAGUUUUGUCACAAAUGGGAGACAACCCUCAGUGUACAGCCCCCACAGUGAUGGUUCCAGGUGCUGGGCAUGGGGGGGUGAGGGGUUUGGGAAGUGAGACCCCAGCAGACCAGGCCCAAGGUCGUGUCCUGGUUAAGUGAGUGGGCUUUGGGUCCCAGCUCUUCCACUUCCUAGCUGUGUAUCCAUGAAUAAGUACGUAACCUCUCCAGGCCUCCAUUUCCUCAUCUACAAAAUGGAAAUAAUCAUUACAUCUACCUCACAGCAUUGUUGUGAGAAUUAAAUGAGAUCAUGUAUAUAAAGCCCAUUAACAUAAUGUCCCAAACAUAGUGAGUGCCCAAUAAAGUUUAAUAUUAUUGCUUCUUAUAAAGGACAAAUAUUUAAAGUGACAGAUAUCCCAAUGGCACUGAUUGAAUCUUUACAAAUUACAUGGAUGUAUUAAAUUAUCACAUUUACCCCCAAAUAUAUAUACAUCUAUUAUGUAUCAAUAAAAUUUUUUAAAUAAUUACUUCUUAAUACUCCUAUACCAGAAAAAAAUGGUUGUACAUACUGUUUGAGCUAACGAAAUGUAAAUUGCUGUCCCUACAGCAAUGAUUUUCCAUCUGGGCGCAAAGGGAUCCCAAAGCUCUUAAAAGGAGUUCAGGGGUUGUAUAACAAGAACACUUUAAAUUGCUGAGGAGAAAAUAACUUUUUUCUGUUUUAUAUAUUGAAGUGCAAGUAAUUUUUUUUUUUUUUUUUUGAGAUGGAGUCUUGCUCUGUUACCCAGGCUGGAGUACAGUGACAUGAUUUUGGCUCACUGCAACCUCCACCUCCCAGGUUCAAGUGAUUAUCCUGACUCAGCCUCCCAAGUAGCUGGGAUUACAGGCGCCUGCCACCACACCUGGUUAAUUUUUGUAUUUUUAGUAGAGACAGGGUUUCACCAUGUUGGCCAGGCUGGUCUUGAACUCCUGACCUUAGGUGAUCUGCCUGUCUCAGCCUCCCAAAAUGUAGGGAUUACAGGCGUGAGCCAUGGCACCCAGCCAGUAAAAUUUUAUUUUUAAAAAAAUGUGUACUACCACUAAAGAAGUGUGAAAAUCUCUGUUUCAAAAGACCUACAAGUUGCUUAUAGCUCAGCAUCUCUGUGAUGCUGCAUCAUACAUAAGCACCCCAACCUCUACUUGAUUCUCUUGCUUGAAGAGGAAGCUUCAAGUUUAGUAUGUUUAAAAGUCCAACAUAAUACGAUGAAAAGCUUGCUUUUAUCAUUUAUCAGAAAAGUUGUUUUCUCCUCAAAUUAGUUCUUUAUAAUUUAUUCACUUCCUAUUAAUAAGGGAAGAGAGGACACACAUCUACUCUCCUCCAAAAAUCCCACUCAAAUAAAUGUAAAGGAAUAAAGAGACAUAAUAAAGAAUAUGAGCAGAGACCCCAGCAGACCAAAUUUUAAUAACAUGGCAGCAGACAGAAAUAGAAUAGAUGAUAACUGAACUAGUAGAAUGGACAAAACACAACCAAGACUGCCUGGAAAUGGUGGAGGGAACAGAGGGAUCCAACAAGAAGUUUUCCAAUCAAACAAAACUCAAAAAGCCCAGGACGCAGGAGUCACCAUGAGCUUCUGCAUUCAGGGCUAAGGGUGGAGCUGAAAACAAAAGGAUUGGUUGAACAUUUGAACAAGAAACAACUGGAGGCCUGGCGCGGUGGCUCAUGCCUGUAAUCCCAGCACUUUGGGAGGCGGAGGCGGGCGGAUCACGAGGUCAGGAGAUCGAGGGCAUCCCACCUAACACGGUGAAACUCCGUCUCUACUAAAAAUACAAAAAAUGAGCCAGGCGUGGUGGCAGC
rnacentral:lncRNA from 10 species